UACGUAGGGUGCAAGCGUUGUCCGGAAUUAUUGGGCGUAAAGAGCUCGUAGGCGGUUUGUCGCGUCAGCUGUGAAAACCUGGGGCUCAACCCCGGGCCUGCAGCCGAUACGGGCAAACUAGAAUUCGGUAGGGGAGACUGGAAUUCCUGGUGUAGCGGUGAAAUGCGCAGAUAUCAGGAGGAACACCGGUGGCGAAGGCGGGUCUCUGGGCCGAUAUUGACGCUGAGGUGCGAAAGCAUGGGGAGCAAACAGG
rnacentral:rRNA from 1 species